rnacentral:lncRNA from 1 species
UUUGAAUCGCAGCUCAUAUGGAGGUCCUCCAAAUUGCUCAAGCCAUCUAAUUCUGAGGAGAAUCAAAAAUUGAAAAGUAAAUACUUUAUUAAUAUAUGUAGACGUCAUUGAAUAAGGAGAAAGAGGAUGAUAUUCAACAGUUUUGUAUAAGAAAUAUUAUUUUACAAUAAUUAAAAAUAUAAUAUUAAAAAAAUAACUAAAAAUUAAAUGUCUAAAAUCACAUUCAACAUAUGUGCCGUUAGAAACCAGUAUUUAUGUAAAUUAAUAUUAAGAAUUAAGAUACGUAAAAAAAAUAGUAACUUACUGAUUUGAGAAUGAGAAUCAAUUAAAUUAACUCCGUCCAAGGAAAGAGUCUUCAAUGAUGAGAAUAAAUCCAAUGAUUGUAGUUGAAGAUUGCAACCUGAGCCUAUCAAAUAGUAUACUUAUAUUUACUUUAUUUCUUUGGAAUAUAUCAAAUUAAUCAAACUAACAAGUAAUUAGUACAUUUAAAUUAAAUUUGGAAUUAGCCACAAUUUUAUUUUAGUAGUACCAAUUGAAUCGCAGCUCAUAUCGAGGUCCUCCAAAUUGCUCAAGCCAUCUAAUUAUGAGGAGAAUCAAAAAUUGAAAAGUAAAUACUUUAUUAAUAUAUGUAGACGUCAUUGAAUAAGGAGAAAGAGGAUGAUAAUUUUACCUUUAAUAUCUAUUGUUCCUUCCAAAUUGGAGCCUCCUAAAGACAAAGUCUUUAGAUUUGAGAGUGUUCCGAGAGAUGACAAUAUGGUAUUGUUGAAGAGAUUGCCAUACAAA